GACAGAGGUGCCGAGCGUUAGGCGGAAUCACUGGGCUUAAAGCGUGUGUAGGCGGACCGUUAAGUACCUUGUGAAAUCCUGCGGCUCAACCGCAGAACGGCUGGGUAUACUGGCGGUCUUGGGCCACCUAGGGGCAGAUGGAACAGACGGUGGAGCGGUGAAAUGCGUAGAUAUCGUCUGGAACGCCAAUGGUGAAAACAGUCUGCUGGGGGUGUGCUGACGCUGAGACACGAAAGCCAGGGGAGCAAACGGG
rnacentral:rRNA from 1 species